AGAUAAGAGCAGUUACUGUUAAAGAGUUGGAUUUACUAUGGCCAAGUGCAAGCUUGUCAUUUCCGGAUGCCAAAAUUCUGACUCGAAUAUCCGUUCACAAGGAAUUUUGGAUCCGGAAUUAAUGAACUUGCGCUUGGCUAGGAUAGUAAAUCCAAAGAUCAAUGACGGCCAACGCCUCUUUUCU